UGAAGUGAUUUACAGGCAGUGAUAAUGACUUGCUAUGGGAGAUGGAUAUUGAGCAGAAAAUUGGUAUUGUUUCAAUGCUCCUCACCUUACAAUGGAGUUACUGCCCAAGAAACUGAUCGAAAGUUGAAAAUAUCGUUAGACUUGUUUCUUCUAUGAGAUGCCAUUCCAGUGCUGGACUCAUGGAGGCUGAACAUUUAUUCAGCAAAAGGAUGCUAAUUAAAAUCAGCCAAUAGAAGAGACACACGAGGCAGAAUUCAGAAGGGUUCCAAAUGCUGAGCUUCCAGUUAUCCUCUCAGUGGAGCCAUGGACAGUGUUAACUCUUCCUGGCGGUCAUAUUUGACAACACACAUGGAAUAUUGCCAACUGAAUAAACUCACUCGAACCUUGGUGUUCAGAGUUUUUGUUGGGAAUCUAUCACAUAGAUAUGAUUGACUUCCUGUGUAAGCUGACCUCAGUCUCCAGUCCCUCCUGAGGUCAAGCUGAUUCUGUGACCCAAAGUCUCCACCUUAAAUCACAUUAUUAGACUAUCUGGCUUAGCUGAAAACCCCCAGUAAACAAAAGACUCUUAAUAUGUAGGACAUUUCAGUGGUUAAGGAUUAUUAUCAGGGAGCUGAGGCAAAGACCAGACCUCUCUUUGGGCAAGGUUAAAUUGUUCUUUACUAUGCACUCUGCUAAUUUAAUUCUCAGGCCUAACCAAAAGAAAUGCAAAGGGAAUGAGUUUAAAUAU